rnacentral:rRNA from 1 species
GACGAACGCUGGCGGCGUGCUUAACACAUGCAAGUCGAACGCUGAUCCACUUUCGGGUGGUGAUGAGUGGCGAACGGGUGAGUAACACGUGGGUAAUCUGCCCUGCACUCUGGGAUAAGCCUUGGAAACGGGGUCUAAUACCGGAUAUCACACUCUUGGGCAUCCAGGGGUGUUGAAAGUUCUGGCGGUGCAGGAUGAACCCGCGGCCUAUCAGCUUGUUGGUGGGGUAANAGCCUACCAAGGCGACGACGGGUAGCCGGCCUGAGAGGGUGACCGGCCACACUGGGACUGAGACACGGCCCAGACUCCUACGGGAGGCAGCAGUGGGGAAUAUUGCACAAUGGGCGAAAGCCUGAUGCAGCGACGCCGCGUGAGGGAUGACGGCCU